rnacentral:rRNA from 1 species
UAAGGGAUAUUGCGCAAUGGGCGAAAGCCUGACGCAGCAACGCCGCGUGGAGGAAGAAGGCCUUCGGGUCGUAAACUCCUUUUGUGAGGGACGAGGAAGGACGGUACCUCACGAAUAAGUCACGGCUAACUACGUGCCAGCAGCCGCGGUAAAACGUAGGUGGCGAGCGUUAUCCGGAUUUACUGGGCGUAAAGCGUGUGCAGAUGGGAUAGUAAGUGGUGUAUGAAAUCGCUCGGCUUAACCGGGCGGGGUUAUGCCAGACUGCUAUUCUAGAGAACGGGAGAGGGACGUGGAAUUCCGGGUGUAGUGGUGAAAUGCGUAGAGAUCCGGAGGAACCCCUGAGGCGAAGGCGGCGUCCUGGCCCGAUUCUGACAUUCAGACACGACAGCAUGGGGAGCGAACGGGAUUAGAUACCCCCGUAGUCC